UACGUAUGGUGCAAGCGUUAUCCGGAUUUACUGGGUGUAAAGGGAGCGCAGGCGGUGCGGCAAGUCUGAUGUGAAAGCCCGGGGCCCAACCCCGGUACUGCAUUGGAAACCGCCGUACUUGAGUGUCGGAGGGGUAAGUGGAAUUCCUAGUGUAGCGGUGAAAUGCGUAGAUAUUAGGAGGAACACCAGUGGCGAAGGCGGCUUACUGGACGACAACUGACGCUGAGGCUCGAAAGCGUGGGGAGCAAACA
rnacentral:rRNA from 1 species